UACGUAGGGUGCGAGCGUUGUCCGGAAUUAUUGGGCGUAAAGAGCGUGUAGGCGGCUUGAUAAGUCUGCUGUGAAAGUCCAGGGCUCAACCCUGGAAGGCCGGUGGAAACUGUCGGGCUAGAGUCCGGAAGAGGCGAGUGGAAUUCCCGGUGUAGCGGUGAAAUGCGCAGAUAUCGGGAGGAACACCAAUGGCGAAGGCAGCUCGCUGGGACGGUACUGACGCUGAGACGCGAAAGCGUGGGGAGCAAGCAGG
rnacentral:rRNA from 1 species